rnacentral:rRNA from 1 species
CGCCCACAAGCUAGCCUAAAAACCUAAAAACAACAAACCACAUUAAUAACCCCAAACACACUGAACUUUACAAAACAAAUCAUUUUCCCCCUCUAGUAUGUGCGACAGAAAGAGAGCCUUGAGCAAUAGAAAAAGUACCGCAAGGGAAAGCUGAAAGAGAAAUGAAAAAACUCAGUAAAGCAUAAAAAAGCAAAGUUUACCCCUUGUACCUUUUGCAUCAUGAUUUAGCUAGUAAUAUUUAGGCAAAGCGCUCUUUAGUCUAAAACCCCGAAACUAAGUGAGCUACUCCAAGCCAGCCUAUCGAGGGCCAACCCGUCUCUGUGGCAAAAGAGUGGGAAGAGCUUUGAGUAGAGGUGACAGAUCUACCGAACUUAGUGAUAGCUGGUUGCCUGAGAAAUGGAUAGGAGUUCAGCCUAUUGAUUUCUACACUCAGUUUACACCCAUCUUUGGCGUUACUACUCCAUAGUAGUAUAAUCCAUUGAUUACCCCAAGAGACCUAAAGAAAUCAAUAGAGUUAAUCAAAGGGGGGACAGCCCCUUUGAUAAAAGACACAACUUUCUCAGGAGGUUAAAGAUCAAAAUACAACAAAGGAACUGUGUUUCAGUGGGCCUAAAAGCAGCCACCUGUACCGAUAGCGUUAUAGCUCAAACACUCCUACAACCCUUCAGAUUCGGAUCACAAUUUCUUAAACCCCUUAAACUAUCAGGCCAUUCUAUACCCCUAUAGAAGUGAUUAUGCUAAUAUGAGUAAUAAGAGAGCCCCUCUCCCAACACAAGUGUAAAUCGGAACGGAUAAGCCACCGAAAUUUAACGGACCCAAACCCAGAGGGUAAUGAACCAACGCACUAGUCCCAAGAAAAACGUUCAAAUCACCGCCGUUAGCCCUACACUGGAGUGUUUUCAGGGAAAGACUAAAAGAGAAAGAAGGAACUCGGCAAAAUUCUCUAGCCUCGCCUGUUUACCAAAAACAUCGCCUCUUGAAAUUCCAAAGAUAAGAGGUCCAGCCUGCCCGGUGACUAUAUGUUUAACGGCCGCGGUAUCUUGACCGUGCAAAGGUAGCGCAAUCACUUGCCCUUUAAAUGGGGGCCCGUAUGAAUGGCAUCACGAGGGCUAAUCUGUCUCCUUUCUCCAGUCAAUGAAAUUGAUCUCCCCGUGCAGAAGCGGGGAUAACCCCAUAAGACGAGAAGACCCUGUGGAGCUUUAGAUACUAGGACUGCCUCUCCUUUAAUAUAGUUAACACAAAGACAUCCAAAUAAGAGACACAGUCUGACUAUCUUUGGUUGGGGCGACCGCGGGGAUUAAAAAAACCCCCAUGUGGAGCAGGAAUAUAAUAUUCCCAAAACCAAGAGUUACCACUCUAACUAACAGAAAUUCUGACCUAAAAAUGAUCCGACAAAGUCGAUCAACGGACCGAGUUACCCCAGGGAUAACAGCGCAAUCCCCUUUAAGAGUUCUUAUCGACAAGGGGGUUUACGACCUCGAUGUUGGAUCAGGACACCCCAAUGGCGCAGCAACUAUUAAAGGUUCGUUUGUUCAACGAUUAAAGUCCUACGUGAUCUGAGUUCAGACCGGAGUAAUCCAGGUCAGUUUCUAUCUAUGAAAUGUUUGCUUCUAGUACGAAAGGACCGAAGUAAAGGGGCCUAUACCCAAAGCACGCCUCCCCCUGAACUAAUGAAACCAACUAAAAUAAACAACAGGACAUAACCCCGCCCGCUACAGAAAAUAGCCUUC